AACGGACGCUGGCGGCGUGCCUAACACAUGCAAGUCGAACGCGAGAGGGGCUCCGGCUCCGAGUAUAGUGGCGCACGGGUGAGUAACACGUGGGUAACCUGCCUCUAAGAUUGGGAUCACUCGUCGAAAGAUGCGCUAACACCGGACAAGACCACAGUUCCCGCGGGAACAGGGGUCAAAGGCAGCCUCUUCUUGCACGCUAUCACCUAGCGCUUGCACUGCGCACCAUUAGGUAGUUGGUAGGGUAACGGCCUACCAAGGCAAAGAUGGUUAGCUGGUCUGAGAGGAUGAUCAGCCACACUGGAACUGAGACACGGUCCAGACUCCUACGGGAGGCAGCAGUGGGGAAUAUUGCGCAAUGGGCGAAAGCUUGACGCAGCAACGCCGCGUGAGUGAUGAAGGCCUUCGGGUCGUAAAGCUCUGUCGGGAGAAACGAAUGCUCCCAAGGUUAACAGCCUCGGUGGGUGACGGUACCUUCAAAGGAAGCACCGGCUAACUCUGUGCCAGCCGCCGCCGUAAAAC
rnacentral:rRNA from 1 species